rnacentral:tRNA from 1 species
GCUCCUGAGAGGGAGACAACCUGAGCCUCAGCUUCAAACUCCCUGAGCAGUCGUCCAGGCGUGGAGGUUCGAGUCCUCCCGGGAGCA